ACGGAGCUUAGAGAGCUUGCUUUUUAAGCUUAGUGGCGAACGGGUGAGUAACGCGUGAGUAACCUGCCCUAGAGUGGGGGACAACAGUUGGAAACGACUGCUAAUACCGCAUAAGCCCACGGUGCCGCAUGACACUGAGGGAAAAGGAUUUAUUCGCUUUAGGAUGGACUCGCGUCCAAUUAGCUAGUUGGUGAGGUAACGGCCCACCAAGGCGACGAUUGGUAGCCGGACUGAGAGGUUGAACGGCCACAUUGGGACUGAGACACGGCCCAGACUCCUACGGGAGGCAGCAGUGGGGGAUAUUGCACAAUGGGGGAAACCCUGAUGCAGCGACGCCGCGUGGAGGAAGAAGGUUUUCGGAUUGUAAACUCCUGUCGUUAGGGACGAUAAUGACGGUACCUAACAAGAAAGCACCGGCUAACUACGUGCCAGCAGCCGCGGUAAAACGUAGGGUGCAAGCGUUGUCCGGAAUUACUGGGUGUAAAGGGAGCGCAGGCGGGAAGACAAGUUGGAAGUGAAAACCAUGGGCUCAACCCAUGAAUUGCUUUCAAAACUGUUUUUCUUGAGUAGUGCAGAGGUAGAUGGAAUUCCCGGUGUAGCGGUGGAAUGCGUAGAUAUCGGGAGGAACACCAGUGG
rnacentral:rRNA from 1 species